GAACUGCGAUAAGUAAUGUGAAUUGCAGAAUUCAGUGAAUCAUCGAGUCUUUGAACGCACAUUGCGCCCGCCAGUAUUCUGGCGGGCAUGCCUGUCCGAGCGUCAUUUCAACCAUCAAGCCCCCGGGCUUGUGUUGGGGACCUGCGGCUGCCCGCAGGCCCUGAAAACCAGUGGCGGGCUCGCUGUCACACCGAGCGUAGUAGCAAUCACCUCGCUCAGGGCGUGCUGCGGGUUCCGGCCGUUAAACAGCCUUACAAAACCCAAGGUUGACCUCGGAUCAGGUAGGAAGACCCGCUGAACUUAAGC
rnacentral:misc_RNA from 1 species